rnacentral:lncRNA from 10 species
UUAGGAUGAGGUCCCUCCAUAAAAAUGCAAGGGGAUCAGUUAAACUUUCACUUCUAAUUUAUUCAUGAAGGAGCGAGGUCUUGCCUGGCCGUGCUGUGCGUCAUCCUGUCAGAAUGACUUUCUCUCUUGUUGAGAAGGGAGAUGGAAAGACAGGAAAUCGGGGGCUCCAGCUCUCCUAGUAAUUGCUGUGAGAAUAAAAAUGUAAGACACAGUUAUCCAGAAAGAGCCCUAGAGAUGGAUAAGGAACCUGUUGGAAUGCUCUGAUAUUAAGAAAAAAAAAAUUAAAUUCAAAACCAAAAACAAGUCACAAGCAGAAAUAUCAGUGUCCGACAAGAUAUUGCCCUGGUUUUCACUGGCUUGGACUCUUCAGAGAGAAAAACAAAUCCAUGUAUAGAGAGAAAAUUUGGAAAACAGGCUUUUCCUAUCCGGAUGAACAGAGAUAAUUUGUGUCGAUGGAUGUUCUGUGAAGGCCUAUUGUGUCGAGCAGCGUAUUAAAACAUAAACAUGGCUCUUCCCCCAAGAAACUUACAUUUCAGUAAGGGAGCCUGGCCAAAAUGGAAAACUGCAAGGUUCAAAUCCUGGAGUGCAGAAGAAGCAUUAGGCAUUGACCCUGUGGCUUCCUAAUAGAUCCGCAAAGUGCUUUGUUCCUGGAAAUCAUCCGAUGAGUAGUUCAGUGCUAUUGUAUAUCUUGUUAGAGCAGCCGAAGUGCCACAAAAUGAACUAAAAUCUCCCUGCAGAGUUGCUGUAUCAUAUGCUGAGAACAUUCGGAACUUUCAACAAAUUCAUGUUACGAUCCUGGGUAGCCAUGGUUAAAUCUGUACAGGGGUUAAAUGAGAAAUAUGAGCCUGCUGUUAAGUGUCUUCUGAGAGUGACAAAGCUCUGGCCAUAAGGGAUGGGAGAGGAGGGAUUUCUUCUCAGCCUUCCAGCCCUUUCCAGCUGUAUCACAGACAGGAGACAUAAUGCAAAGGGGCUCAGACAUUGACUUCCUGGAUCUUUGCGGCCCCAGGCAUUGACCCCCUCUACCUGGCUUUUCCUACGCUGUAAAAUGAGGAUCCUCCUAUAUUAUGGAGUUUAUUGUGACAACUAAAUAGCUGAGAAGAAGGACAUCUCAUUUGUUUUAACUAUGCAGUUUCCUGUCUAUCUAUCUAUCUAUCCCAUCAAUCUAUCAAUCAAUCUAUCAAUCUGUCUAUCCCUAUCUAUCUAUCCAUCUAUCUAUCUAUAUCUGUCUAUAUCUAUCUAACAUUUAUCUAUCAUCUAUUCAUCUAUCAGCUAUCUUCUGUCUAUCAAUAUUUCAAUCAAUCUCUCUAUCCCUAUCAAUUAAUCUAUCUACCUACCUAUCAACUAUCCAUCUAUCUCUAUCAUCUAUCAUCUAUUCAUCUAUCAUUUAUCAUCUGUCAAUCCAUCUUCCUACUAUCUAUCAAAAGCAACACAUUUUCUUCCUGACUUUAAAAAUAUUUAAGUGGGCCGGGAGGAUGGCUCACGCCUGUAAUCCCAGCACUUUGGGAGGCCUAGGCGGGCGGAUCACGAGGUCAGGAGAUGGAGACCAUCCUGGCUAACAUGGUGAAACCCCGUCUCUACUAAAAAUACAAAAAAAAAAAAAAAUUAACCAGGCGUGGUGGAGGGCGCCUGUAGUCCCAGCUACUCGGGAGACUGAGGCAGGAGAAUGGGGAGAACCCGGGAGGCGGAGCUUGCAGUGAGCCGAGAUCAUGCCACUGCACUCCAGCCUGGGCGACAGAGCAAGACUCCAUCUCAAAAGAAACAAAAACAAAAACGUAAGUGAUACUCUGUCCACUCUUUUGAUUGAGGAGGUCUGAUUUUCAGGCUUUGGAUUUUAUUAUGUCUUCAAUAUAAUAAUUGUUCCAUGUAUCUCUCCUAAAUUGCCAUUUGAAAAACUGCUUUUCUGAAGUUUAAAGUGCACAUUUUGAUACAUCUUGACACAUAUAUACACCCAUGAAAUCAUCACCACAAUCAGGAUAGUAGAUCUAUCCAUUACCGCCAAGGUUUACUUGCACUCCUUUGAACUUUCUCCCCACUCCUCACCCCCUGCCUAUCCCCAAUCCUUAAGCAAUCACUGAUUUGCUUUCUGUCACUAUCAGUUAAUUUGAAUUUUUCAGAAAUGUAUAUAAAUAAAAUCAUUCGACGUGUAUGCUCUUUUUCUGUUCACCCGGUACAAUUUGAGAUUUAGCCAUGUUUUUGCAUGUGUCAAUAGUUUAUUUUUUUGUUGCUCAGUACUAAUCCAUUUUAUGGAUACAGAGAAAUGUAUUAAUGCAAUCCCAUAUUAAUAGGCAUUUGGGUUGUUUCCAGGUUUGGGCUGUUACAAAUAAAGCUGCUAUGAACAUUUUUGUGCAAGUCUUUUUAUGAGUAUAUUCCUUUAUUUCUUUUGGGUAAAUACCUAGAAGUGGGAUGGGUGUAUCACAUGGUACGUAAAUAUUUAAAUUUUUAAGAGAAUGCCAAACUGUUUUUCAAAGUAAUUGCACCAUUUUAUAUUCCCACCAGGAAUAUAUGAGAAUUCCAGUUCCUCUACAUACUCACAGACAUAUUGUAUGGUCAGU